UACGGAGGGUGCAAGCGUUAUCCGGAUUCACUGGUUAAAGGUGCGUAGGUGGGUUGGUAAGUCAGUGGUGAAAUCUCCGUGCUUAACAUGGAAACUGCCAUUGAUACUACUGGUCUUGAAUUUUCCGGAGGUAAGCGGAAUAUGUCAUGUAGCGGUGAAAUGCUUAGAUAUGACAUAGAACACCAAUGCGAAGGCAGCUUACUACAGGACAUUGACACUGAGGCACGAAAGCGUGGGGAUCAAACAGG
rnacentral:rRNA from 1 species